GGGCCCUAUUGUGUAGGGUGCUACACAUGGGAACUGGUCCCACAGGGUCACAGGCCAAACCUCAGGACACUACUCUCCUGCUGUUUCCAGAACUCCUCAUUCCCAUCCAGCCCAGCUUCCUGCCCUUGAGACAGCCCACAAUCUUUCUGCCCUGGGGCACCCCCCACCACUUGUAUCCCCAGAGUCUGAUGGGCCAUAGGUCCCCUCCAUGGAAAAAAAACAGGCUGGUAAGAUGGAAGACAGAUGCCUCCUUUUCCUCCCCCUUAUGUCUGGGGGGAUUUGAGUCUUUGGCCUGGUUACCUUCUGCAUUUAUAGACCACAAAUAGUGAUUCCUAUCAAAGUUCCUACAGAGCAGCCAGGGCCUGUAGCAGAGCCUGGAGAACCUCUCUUCCAGUUACCAGAGGGGCAGUAGGGAUAUGGUCACCCAUGCCUCCCACCUGCCCUGGAGCAUGGCCACUGCCUCUUUUGUUAACAGGACCGUUGAUAUCUUAAGUUAAAAAUAACUCAGUAGGACCUUUUUUUCUGAUCUGCACAAAUACAUAUUCAACCCCCAUCCAUGGUGUGUGGACACCUUUGCAGGCGGCACUUCCCCAUCC
rnacentral:lncRNA from 1 species